UUUCAGUUGGGAAGAGAAGCGUCAUGUGAAUAGCGUGACGUGGAGACGUUACUAGCAAAAGAAGCACCGGCUAACUCUGUGC
rnacentral:rRNA from 1 species